rnacentral:pre_miRNA from 1 species
AGAGGAAUAGCUGGGUCAAAUGGUGAUUCCAUUCCAAGAUUUCCAAGGAACCUCCAUACUGCUUUCCAUAUUGGCUGCACCAAUUUGCAGUCCCACCAGCAAU